GCAAAUUNUCCUCAUAAGUUUGACAAGAAGAGGAACCAUGAAUUUUAGUAAUUUAAUAACUCCUAUUAAUUUAUUUAUAUGGUGGCACAAAAUCGGAAGCCCCGACUGUUUACUAAAAACACAACUAUCUGCAAUUAUGAAAAUAAUAGUAUAGGUAGUGAGAUUUGCCCAAUGCCAUAUUCAUAAGUAAUAAUAAUGGGUAACUGUUUCUUUACAAAAAAUUGGUUAAUAGCGGUCUUAACUAUGAGGAUCCUAAGGUAGCAAAAUAAAUUGGCCAUUAAAUGUGGUCCAGUAUCAAUAAUUUAACGAUGGCUUCACUGUCUCUACAACUUGCUCAGUGAAAUUGAAUUACCCGUGCAGAUGCGGGUUACCUCAAAGAGGACGGGAAGACCCUAUGCAGC
rnacentral:rRNA from 1 species